GGAAGGGUGGCCGAGCGGACGAAGGCAGCGGUCUUGAAAACCGUAGACGGCCCCGCCGUCCGUGGGUUCGAAUCCCACCCCUUCCGCCA
rnacentral:tRNA from 1 species